GACAGAGGAGCCAAGCGUUGUCCGGACUGACUGGGCGUAAAGCGCACGCAGGCGGUGCGGUAAGUGGUGUGUGAAAGCGGCCGGCUCAACCGGCUGAGGCCAUGCCAGACUGCCGCGCUCGAGCACUGCAGAGGGUGGUGGAAUUGCCGGUGUAGUGGUGAAAUGCGUAGAGAUCGGCAGGAACACCAAGGGGGAAGGCCAGCCACCCUGGCAGCGCUGACGCUGAAGUGCGAA
rnacentral:rRNA from 1 species